CCUACGGGCGGCAGCAGUGGGGAAUAUUGGACAAUGGGCGAAAGCCUGAUCCAGCCAUGCCGCGUGUGUGAAGAAGGCCUUCGGGUUGUAAAGCACUUUCAGUGGGGAAGAAAGCCUUGGGGCUAAUACCCUCGAGGAAGGACAUCACCCACAGAAGAAGCACCGGCUAACUCCGUGCCAGCAGCCGCGGUAAUAUGGAGGGUGCGAGCGUUAAUCGGAAUUACUGGGCGUAAAGCGCGCGUAGGCGGUCUGAUAAGCCGGUUGUGAAAGCCCCGGGCUCAACCUGGGAACGGCAUCCGGAACUGUCAGGCUAGAGUGCAGGAGAGGAAGGUAGAAUUCCCGGUGUAGCGGUGAAAUGCGUAGAGAUCGGGAGGAAUACCAGUGGCGAAGGCGGCCUUCUGGACUGACACUGACGCUGAGGUGCGAAAGCGUGGGUAGCAAACAGGAUUAGAUACCCCAGUAGUC
rnacentral:rRNA from 1 species